rnacentral:rRNA from 1 species
ACGAACGCUGGCGGCGUGCUUAACACAUGCAAGUCGAACGGAAAGGCCCUGCUUUUGUGGGGUGCUCGAGUGGCGAACGGGUGAGUAACACGUGAGUAACCUGCCCUUGACUUUGGGAUAACUUCAGGAAACUGGGGCUAAUACCGGAUAGGAGCUCCUGCUGCAUGGUGGGGGUUGGAAAGUUUCGGCGGUUGGGGAUGGACUCGCGGCUUAUCAGCUUGUUGGUGGGGUAGUGGCUUACCAAGGCUUUGACGGGUAGCCGGCCUGAGAGGGUGACCGGCCACAUUGGGACUGAGAUACGGCCCAGACUCCUACGGGAGGCAGCAGUGGGGAAUAUUGCACGAUGGGCGGAAGCCUGAUGCAGCAACGCCGCGUGCGGGAUGACGGCCUUCGGGUUGUAAACCGCUUUCGCCUGUGACGAAGCGUGAGUGACGGUAAUGGGUAAAGAAGCACCGGCUAACUACGUG